GAAGACCCGUACCAGCACGUUCCUGGAGGGAAUUUCACCAUCUAACCGCUGCCCUGUUGUGAUGUGAUAAGGUUGUCUUUAGCAUUGUAAAUCAAUGAAAUGAAGACAUGCUCAGCGUGGUUCAGGUUCCUGAUGCUCAAGCAUACCCCAGUCCUUUCGGCUGCAGCAAUUAUAUAAUGAUUAUUAUCAACAAGGCUCAAGGUAAUUUAGCAACAGAACAAGAUACUCCAAGCUCCUGAUAACUGCUGUUAGGAGAAUAAUUUAAUCCCAGGAAUCUUUCAAUAAUGCUAUCAAUGUUUUACAAAAGAAAAGCUAUG